rnacentral:rRNA from 1 species
AUUGAACGCUGGCGGCAUGCCUUACACAUGCAAGUCGAGCGGCAGCGCGGGGGCAACCCUGGCGGCGAGCGGCGAACGGGUGAGUAAUGCAUCGGAACGUGUCCUUUUGUGGGGGAUAACCAGUCGAAAGACUGGCUAAUACCGCAUGAGCUCGAGAGAGGAAAGCAGGGGACCGCAAGGCCUUGCGCGAGAGGAGCGGCCGAUGCCCGAUUAGCUAGNGGUGAGGUAACGGCUCACCAAGGCGACGAUCGGUAGCUGGUUUGAGAGAACGACCAGCCACACUGGGACUGAGACACGGCCCAGACUCCUAC